CCUACGGGAGGCAGCAGUGGGGAAUAUUGCGCAAUGGGCGAAAGCCUGAUGCAGCGACGCCGCGUGAGGGAUGACGGCCUUCGGGUUGUAAACCUCUUUCAGCAGGGAAGAAGCGAAAGUGACGGUACCUGCAGAAGAAGCGCCGGCUAACUACGUGCCAGCAGCCGCGGUAAUACGUAGGGCGCAAGCGUUGUCCGGAAUUAUUGGGCGUAAAGAGCUCGUAGGCGGCUUGUCACGUCGGGUGUGAAAGCCCGGGGCUUAACCCCGGGUCUGCAUUCGAUACGGGCUAGCUAGAGUGUGGUAGGGGAGAUCGGAAUUCCUGGUGUAGCGGUGAAAUGCGCAGAUAUCAGGAGGAACACCGGUGGCGAAGGCGGAUCUCUGGGCCAUUACUGACGCUGAGGAGCGAAAGCGUGGGGAGCGAACAGGAUUAGAUACCCUGGUAGUCCACGCCGUAAACGGUGGGAACUAGGUGUUGGCGACAUUCCACGUCGUCGGUGCCGCAGCUAACGCAUUAAGUUCCCCGCCUGGGGAGUACGGCCGCAAGGCUAAAACUCAAAGGAAUUGACGG
rnacentral:rRNA from 1 species